GUGCCAGCAGCCGCGGUAAUACCGGCGGCUCUUGUGGUCGUCGCUUUUAUUGGGCCUAAAACGUCCGUAGCCGGUUUGGUAAAUGUGUGGGUAAAUCCCCCGGCUUAACUGGUUGAAUUCUUUCGAGACUGCCAAACUAGGGACCGGGAGAGGUGUGGGGUACUCUAGGGGUGGGGGUAAAAUCCUGUCUUCCUUAAAGAACCCCCAGUUGCGAAGGCGCCACACUAGAACUGAUCCGACGGUCAGGGACGAAGCCUAGGGGCACGAACCGGAUUAGAUACCCGGGUAGUCCUAGGUGUAAACGCUGUGAACUUGGUGUCGGGAGUUAGCAAUGGGCCCCCGGUGCCGGAGUGAAGAUGUUAAGUUCCCUGCCUGGGGAGUAUGGUCGCAAGGCUGAAACUUAAAGGAAUUUGCGGGGGAGCACUGCAACGGGAGGAGCGUGCGGUUUAAUUGGAUUCAACGCCGGAAAACUCUCAUGGCCGACUGUUAGAUGAAGACCAUGCGUAGUGAGCUUGUCGGAUUUUCAUCCAGGUGGUGCAUGGCCGUCGUCAGUUCGAGUGUAGAGCGUUCUGUUAAGUCAGAUAACGAACGACACCCUCUUCUCUAUUUGCUACGCGACUCUCCAGAGGCGGCGCACUAUAGAGAGGGCGCUGGUGUUAAACCAAGGGAAAGCGAGGGCAAAGACAGUCUUGUAUGCUCUGAAAAAAGGGGGCUACCCGCGCUUUACAAAGAACGGGUCAAAGGCAAGCCAGGGCGAGAGGCCGAGCUUACCCAAAACCCUUUCAUAGUUCGGAUUGGGGGCUGCAACUCGCCCUCGUGAAGUUGGAAUCCGUAGUAAUCGGGUAUCAAUAUACCGCGGAGAAUAUGCCCCGGUUCCUUGCACACACC
rnacentral:rRNA from 1 species